GUGAAAGGCACUGGAGCGACGAACCGUUCUUGCUGUCUCUGCCUGGCCGGUUCCCCUCUCUCCACUGGGAUUCUCUGCCUCUAACCCUAUUACGGGGGCUGAGUCACUGGCUUACUGGUGCUCUUCCAUGCUGUCCCUAGGAGGGGUGCUUCACUUGAUUUCAACUGUUCUGCUUGGGGCUAUGGAACCCUGACCUGUUCAUCAGACCUGCUACCUUGUCCCGGACCUGCUGUUUUGGACUCUCUCUACCGCACCUGCUGUCUCUAACUCUGAAUGCUCGGCUAUGAAAAACCAACUGACAUUUACUCCUGAGGUGCUGACCUGUUGCACCCUCUACACCCACUGUGAUUAUUAUUAUCUGACCCUGCUGGUCAUCUAUGAACAUUUGAACAUCUUGGCCAUGUUCUGUUAUAAUCUCAACCCGGCACAGCUAGAAGAGGACUGGUUCCUCUCUAUGGUUUCUUCCUAGGUUCCAACCUUUCUAGGGAGUUUUUUCUAGCCACCGUGCUUCUACAUCUGCAUUGCUUGCUGUUCGGGGUUUUAGGCUGGAUUUCUGUACAGCACUUUGUGACAUCGGCUGAUGUAAAAAAGGGCUUUAUAAUUAAAUUUGAUUGAUUGAUAGUGAGAUACCCAAUGGGUAUCUUUGACACUUAAAUUGAAUAAGAUAUUACUUAAAUACUGGAAGUCAAAUAAUACUCCAACGUUAAGAGAAUGGAAAAAUCAAAUGCUUGAAUUUAAUAUUGAAAAAGACAGACAGACAGAAUGCAUGUACAUUUUGAGUUGUGUAUUGUUUUUGUCCAUCUAGGUUUGUAUAAAAGAAAGUUAACUAAAAAUACAGUUUUUUUUAAUUAAUACAAAAUUAACUCUGUCGUAGGGACUGAAUGUUGGAGGAGCUUUAAGGGCAGUAAGUAGCAGGAGGCAGCAGGAUCAGGGGCAAAAUGCUGUCCAGUUUAAUAACAAUGAAAGGUGGUUUCCGGUGAAUGACGAAAUGCAAUGAAUAUUUACAUAAUCUACAAAAGGUAAUUACAGAA
rnacentral:lncRNA from 1 species